ensembl:lncRNA
UACGAUGAUUGUCCAGACCGACACACACACACACACACACACACACACACACACACACACACACACACACACACACACACACCACACACACCACACACACACACACACACCACACACACACACACACACACACACACACACACACACACACACACACACACACACACACACACACACACACACACACUGGUGUCUAAAUCACAGAUUAGUGUUGAUUGGUUUUCAAUCUCUGUUUUGUAUGAUGGAUUGUGUGUGUGUGUGUGUGUGUGUGUGUGUGUGUGUGUGUGUGUGUGUGUUUGUGUGUGUGUGUGUGUGUGUGUGUGUGUGUGUGUGUGUGUGUGUGUGUGUGUGUGUCAGGAAGAGAUGGAGCAGCAGAGAGAGAGUUACCAGAGAGAGAUGACAGGCCUGAGAACAGACAAACAGAGACUGGAGGAGAAGGUUCUAGAGCUCAACCGACAGACCCAAGAGAACACAGACAGAAACGUUCUAGAACACAACCAAGUGAACACAGACCGAAACGUUCUAGAACACAACCAAGAGAACACAGACCGAAACGUUCUAGAACACAACCAAGAGAACACAGACAGAAACGUUCUAGAACACAACCAAGAGAACACAGACAGAAACGUUUUAGAACAGAACCAAGAGAACACUGACGAGAGAAUCCGGUCAGAGUGUGAGGAGCGCCUAAGGGGGGAAUUUAAAGCGGAGCUUGACGCGGCUGUUGCCGCGAGCAACCAGAGAGAGCAGGUGCUGCAGACUCAACUAGCCGAUCUCCAAUCACAGGUGGAGAGGAAGGCGGGGCCAGCAGAGGGUCACCAUGACGACAGUGAGAUUGACAGGCUGCGAAGGGAGGUGCAGGAGACCAGAGACAUGAACCAGAGACUGAGAGAACAGCUGCAGGAGGAACCACACUUGAAAGAGGAACAACAGAGACUCUCUGAAGAACGACACUCGGCGGCGUUGCAAUCUCUGGAGAGACGAGCUCAGGAGGAACUGCAGACAGAGAGGAACAGACUACACACACUACACCUGUUACGGCUAGGUAACACACACUACACCUGUUACAGCUAGAUAACACACACACUACACCUGUUACAGCUAGAUAACACACACACUACACCUGUUACAGCUAGGUAACACACACACUACACCUGUUACAGCUAGAUAACACACACACUACACCUGUUACAGCUAGGUAACACACACACUACACCUGUUACAGCUAGGUAACACACACUACACCUGUUACAGCUAGGUAACACACACACUACACCUGUUAUAGCUAGGUAACACACACACUACACCUGUUACAGCUAGGUAACACACACACUACACCUGUUAUAGCUAGGUAACACACACUACACCUGUUACAGCUAGGUAACAUACACACUACACCUGUUACAGCUAGGUAACACACUACACCUGUUACAGCUAGGUAACACACACUACACCUGUUACAGCUAGAUAACACAUACACUACACCUGUUACAGCUAGGUAACACACACUACACCUGUUACAGCUAGGUAACACACACACUACACCUGUUACAGCUAGGUAACACACACACUACACCUGUUACAGCUAGGUAACACACACACUACACCUGUUACAGCUAGGUAACACACACUACACCUGUUACGGCUAGGUAACACACACUACACCUGUUACAGCUAGGUAACACACACUACACCUGUUACAGCUAGGUAACACACACACUACACCUGUUACAGCUAGGUAACACACACUACACCUGUUACAGCUAGGUAACACACACACUACACCUGUUAUAGCUAGGUAACACACACACUACACCUGUUACAGCUAGGUAACACACACACUACACCUGUUAUAGCUAGGUAACACACACUACACCUGUUACAGCUAGGUAACACACUACACCUGUUACAGCUAGGUAACACACACUACACCUGUUACAGCUAGGUAACACACACUACACCUGUUACAGCUAGGUAACACACACACUACACCUGUUACAGCUAGGUAACACACACUACACCUGUUACAGCUAGGUAACACACACUACACCUGUUACAGCUAGGUAACACACACUACACCUGUUACAGCUAGGUAACACACACACUACACCUGUUACAGCUAGGUAACACACACACUACACCUGUUAUAGCUAGGUAACACACACACUACACCUGUUACAGCUAGGUAACACACACACUACACAUGUUACAGCUAGGUAACAGACACUACACCUGUUACAGCUAGGUAACACACACACUACACCUGUUAUAGCUAGGUAACACACACUACACCUGUUACAGCUAGGUAACACACACACUACACCUGUUACAGCUAGGUAACACACACACUACACCUGUUACAGCUAGGUAACACACACACACUACACCUGUUACAGCUAGGUAACACACACACACUACACCUGUUACAGCUAGGUAACACACACUACACCUGUUACAGCUAGGUAACACACACUACACCUGUUACAGCUAGGUAACACACACACACACUACACCUGUUACGGCUAGGUAACACACACACACUACACCUGUUACAGCUAGGUAACACACACACUACACCUGUUACAGCUAGGUAACACACACUACACCUGUUACAGCUAGGUAACACACACACUACACCUGUUACAGCUAGGUAACACACACUACACCUGUUACAGCUAGGUAACACACACGCUACACCUGUUACAGCUAGGUAACACACACACUACACCUGUUACAGCUAGGUAACACACACACUACACCUGUUACAGCUAGAUAACACACACUACACCUGUUACAGCUAGGUAACACACACACUACACCUGUUACAGCUAGGUAACACACACGCUACACCUGUUACAGCUUGGUAACACACACACUACACCUGUUACAGCUAGGUAACAUACAAACUACACCUGUUACAACUAGGUAACACACACUAUACCUGUUACAGCUAGGCAACACACACACUACACCUGUUACAGCUAGGCAACACACACACUACAGUCAUGGCCAAAAGUUUUGAGAAUGACACAAAUAUUAAUUUUCACAAAGUCUGCUGCCUCAGUUUGUAUGAUGGCAAUUUGCAUAUACUCCAGAAUGUUAUGAAGAGUGAUCAGAUGAAUUGCAAUUAAUUGCAAAGUCCCUCUUUGCCAUGCAAAUGAACUGAAUCCCCAGAAAACAUUUCCACUGCAUUUCAGCCCUGCCACAAAAGGACCAGCUGACAUCAUGUCGGUGAUUCUCUCGUUAACACAGGUGUGAGUGUUGACGAGGACAAGGCUGGAGAUCACUCUGUCAUGCUGACUGAGUUCGAAUAACAGACUGGAAGCUUCAAAAGGAGGGUGAUGCUUGGAAUCAUUGUUCUUCCUCUGUCAACCAUGGUUACCUGCAAGGAAACACGUGCCGUCAUCAUUGCUUUGCACCAAAAGGGCUUCACAGGCAAGGAUA